rnacentral:misc_RNA from 1 species
AUGAGUUAGGGUCUUCUAGGCCCGAUCUCCAACCCUUUGUAUAAUUACCAUGUUGCUUUGGCGGGCCCGUCUGUAACCGGACCGUCGGGGGUGAUUACCUCUGGCCAGCGCUCGUCAGUAGCCCACAAUAAACUCUUAUAACAAUGUUAAAUCUGAAACUAGUUAAAUAAACUA